GAGAGACAUAGUUUGUUCCUGGUCAAGCGUGAACACACGGCAAGACUAGAGCACCUGCAGCUCAGCGACACUGACAGCUGCAUUUCAGAUGCCAAUGGGCACCGUGGCCGCCCUGGAGAGCUAUAGAUUGAAUGUGUCACUAAGAGAAUGAUUGGCACCCUUGCCUUUUUAGUUAUUCCUGGCCAGUUUGGGCUGUCAGUACUACUUAGCAACAUAAGAG